UCUAAUGACCCUUAGGAAGUGAUAAAAUGUAAGUGACCCAUCAGGGAAUUAUAACAAUAUGCUGGCGGUGAUAAGUGUUAGGAAGAAAUAUAGAGUGCCAAGAGAUAUACAAUAUGAGAAUCAGACCACACGUAAGAGACCAAGAAAAACGUCUCUGAGAAAUGACUUUUAAGCUGAGCAUUGAAGGAGAUGGGGAGGAAGAACACCAAAUAAAGGAAGAG